rnacentral:rRNA from 1 species
AUUGAACGCUGGCGGCAGGCCUAACACAUGCAAGUCGAGCGGAUGAAGGGAGCUUGCUCCUGGAUUCAGCGGCGGACGGGUGAGUAAUGCCUAGGAAUCUGCCUGGUAGUGGGGGAUAACGUCCGGAAACGGGCGCUAAUACUGCAUACGUCCUGAGGGAGAAAGUGGGGGAUCUUCGGACCUCACGCUAUCAGAUGAGCCUAGGUCGGACUAGCUAGUUGGUGGGGUAAAGGCCUACCAAGGCGACGAUCCGUAACUGGUCUGAGAGGAUGAUCAGUCACACGGGAACUGAGACACGGUCCAGACUCCUACGGGAGGCAGCAGUGGGGAAUAUUAGACAAUGGGCGAGAGCCUGAUCCAGCCAUGCCGCGUGUGUGAAGAAGGUCUUCGGAUUGUAAAGCACUUUAAGUUGGGGGGAAGGGCAGUAAGUUAAGACCUUGCUGUUUUGACGUUACCAACAGAAGAAGCACCGGCUAACUUCGUG